UACGGGUUGUGAGAGCAAGAGCCCGGAGAUGGAACCUGAGACAAGGUUCCCAGNGCUACNGGGCGCAGCAGGCGCGAAACCUCCGCAAUGUGAGAAAUCGUGACGGGGGGAUCCCAAGUGCCAUUCUUAACGGGAUGGCUUUUCAUUAGUGUAAAGAGCUUUUGGAAUAAGAGCUGGGCAAGACCGGUGCCAGCCGCCGCGGUAACACCGGCAGCUCUAGUGGUAACAAUUUUUAUUGGGCCUAAAGCCGUCGUAGCCGGUUUAAUAAGUCUCUGGUGAAAUCCUGUAGCUUAACUGUGGGAAUUGCUGGAGAUACUAUUAGACUUGAGACCGGGAGAGGUUAGAGGUACUCCCAGGGUAGAGGUGAAAUUCUGUAAUCCUGGGAGGACCGCCUGUUGCGAAGGCGUCUAACUGGAACGGUUCUGACGGUGAGGGACGAAAGUUAGGGGCGCGAACCGGAUUAGAUACCCGGGUAGUCCUAACUGUAAACGAUGCGGACUUGGUGUUGGGGUGGCUUUGAGCUGUCCCAGUGCCGAAGGGAAGCUGUUAAGUCCGCCGCCUGGGAAGUACGGUCGCAAGACUGAAACUUAAAGGAAUUGGCGGGGGAGCA
rnacentral:rRNA from 1 species